rnacentral:rRNA from 1 species
AUACAUGCAAGUCGAACGAUACCAGAGAGCUUGCUUUCUGGGAAAGUGGCGCACGGGUGCGUAACGCGUAUGCAACCUACCUUAAUCAGGGGGAUAGCCUCUCGAAAGAGAGAUUAACACCGCAUAACAUCAUUUUACGGCUUCGUAGAAUGAUCAAAUAUUUAUAGGAUUAAGAUGGGCAUGCGUGACAUUAGUUUGUUGGUGAGGUAAUGGCUCACCAAGACUACGAUGUCUAGGGGAUCUGAGAGGAUUACCCCCCACACUGGUACUGAGACACGGACCAGACUCCUACGGGAGGCAGCAGUAAGGAAUAUUGGUCAAUGGGGGCAACCCUGAACCAGCCAUGCCGCGUGCAGGAAGACGGCCCUACGGGUUGUAAACUGCUUUUAUACGGGAAUAAACCUCACUACGUGUAGUGAGCUGAAUGUACUGUAAGAAUAAGGAUCGGCUAACUCCGUGCCAGCAGCCGCGGUAAUACGGAGGAUCCAAGCGUUAUCCGGAUUUAUUGGGUUUAAAGGGUGCGUAGGCGGCCUAUUAAGUCAGGGGUGAAAGACGGUGGCUCAACCAUCGCAGUGCCUUUGAUACUGAUAGGCUUGAUUACACUUGAGGUAGGCGGAAUGUGACAAGUAGCGGUGAAAUGCAUAGAUAUGUCACAGAACACCAAUUGCGAAGGCAGCUUACUAAGGUGUUAAUGACGCUGAGGCACGAAAGCGUGGGGAUCAAACAGGAUUAGAUACCCUGGUAGUCCACGCCCUAAACGAUGAAUACUCGAUGUUAGCGAUAUACAGUUAGCGUC